AUCUUGGAGAGGCGUGUCUCUGGAUCCAGGAAGCGGUGGCCACUGAUUUGAGAAUAGAGCUCUUGGAUGGAGGAUGUGCUCUGGGGGUAUCACACACACCCCAAAAGACGGUGGGACACAAUGAGAAAUCACAGCUCUUUCACUUUUCGUCCAUCUGCCCGCCAUGGAGCGUGCUCACUGUGUGCCACUUGGCUUAAUUCUGUCCCAUCAGCCACCACAAAAGCCCCCCGAUCCAAUCACAGGGAUCAGACCCGGGCCAAGACCAUGAGAUGGGGAGCCAAGGAACAGACCAGAAUCAACAGCCCAUUCUCUCAAGAUCACACACACACACACACACGGAAAAUAUGGGGGCAAGAAGAAACGCCGGGAAGAAUAUGGAGAGAGGAAUGGCGUAGAAAGCAUGGACAGAAAAGCGAGCUAUGGUUCCAGCUACUUUCUUUCUUUCUUUCUUUCUUUCUUUCUUUCUUUCUUUCUUUCUUUCUUUCUUUCUUUCUUUCUUUCUUUCUUUCUUUCUUUCUUUCUUUCUUUCUUUCUUUCUUUUUCUAAGUUCAGUGAACUCCAGCUUUGCCUUUUGGGGAUGAAUGACGAGAUGACAAAAGUCAAACAAAAAUGAGAGCCAAAAAGUUACCAUAUGUUCCAUCUGUAAUGCCAUUUUUUUUAAAGGCCAGAAGAUCAGGCUAGAAAGACGAGCACAGAAAAAUGCUUUUCCCAAAUACCACACAUUCCCCUCUCUCUCUCUCUCUCUCUCUCUCUCUCUCUCUCUCUCUGCUUCUGCCUCUCACUCGCUGAUUGUUAAUUGUGUGAGAGCAGGUCAUCAGUAGCAGUGCAUUAGAAUAAUGGAAAUAGAUGGCAGAGACCUACGGAUGGCAACACAAGCCAUCUUCCCUAUUUGCAUGGCUGUGUGCUCUGGGACAAUUAUGUCAUUAUCACAGACCUCUGUGAGUGUGUGUGUGUGUGUGUGUGCGUGUGUGUGUGUGCUGGGUGACAGGUGGGCAAACGAAGCUAAGUGCCAAGGAAAUCUGAACUCACUCUCUUUCACUUUCUCUGUUGCCUGUUAAAAUCUCUUAAUAGCAUGUUCUCAGUUUGUUUCAGCAGGUUUUUCUUUUAACUCGGAUAUCUUUUCUCACUAAUUUCAUUCAUUCAGU
ensembl:lncRNA